CUUAGUGCAACUACUGCGCUGCUCUACUCCAGCCGCUGCUAGUUGCUGCUAAAGGCCAUGGCCGAGUGUGUGCGUGCAGCGUGUAUGUGUGUGUGUUGUGUGCGUGCAGCGUGUGUGUGUUGUGUGUGUGUGCGUGAGUGUGUGUUCUGUGUGUGUGGCCGGCCAAAAACUAGUUUAGGGACUAGUUUAAUUUGUUUGUGUAGUUAGUAGUACUAGUUAAUUAGUCCAACGGUACAUGACAUGUGGACCCACUGUUAGUUAAAAAAACAAAUUUUAGAAAAGUAUAAGUCAAUGACAUGUGGCCCCUACACCGUUUAUAUGUUGACUAGUCAACUGUUGACUUUGACCCUGACCGCACCAAUGAUAAACUAUGGCUAGAAUGGCACUAGGUGACAAAACAAAAUUUUGUUUUAUUUCUGAAUUAUAAGAAUUCCAAACUACUAUUAAAACUUCAGAAAAUCAUAGUAAAAUAACCGUAACUCGGAUGAAAAAACUUUGUACAUGAAAGUUGCUCAGACCGACGAGACAAAUCCGAAUACGUAGUCCGUUCGUCCGCCACGCAUCCCUAGCAUAGCAAACACGCGACUUUCCCCCUUCGGUUCAUCUGUCCGAAAACGCGAAACACCGGGGUUAUUUUUCCGGAUGUUUUCCUCCUUCAUCGGUACCACCUCAUACCUCGUUAGGGCACCCCUAACACCGCUACUUCUCUUGUCAUGCAUCGUUAUUCAUCUGUUUGCAUUAUAUUUAUUGUUUCUUCCCCCUCUUCUCUCGCUAGACACCGAGACUGACGCCGCUCCUACCUAGUACGACUAUGGUGUUGACGACCCCUCUCUCCAGGCAAGCCCCCCUUGAUCACCAGAUAUCGCCUACUCUUCUCUAUACUGCUUGCAUUAGAGUAGUGUAGCAUGUUACUGCUUUCCGUUAAUCCUAUCCUGAUGCAUAGCCUGUCCUUACUACUACUGUUGUUACUUUUACCUGCAAUCCUAAUGCUUAGUAUAGGAUGCUAGUUUAUCAUCAGUGGCCAUACAUUCUUGUCCGUCUGCCAUGCUAUACUAUCGGGUCGUGAUCACUCGGGAGGUGAUCACGGGUAUAUACUAUAUAUUUUAUACAUGAUACAUUCGAUGACUAAAGUCGGGUUAGCUCAAGGAGUACCCGCGGUUGAUUCACGAAUUGGGGGCUGGAAGAACAUACUUUCCCGACGGCCCUCUAUGUUGAUCUUUGUGGCGAAGCGACAGGGCAGGUUGAGACCACCUAGGAGAGAGGUGGGCCUGGCCCUGGUCGGCGUUCGCGGUUAUUUCAAAAUAACACGCUUAACAAGAUCUUGAUAUUUGAUCUGAGUCUGACUACUGGCCUACACGCACUAACCAUCUACGCGGGGACAGUUAUGGGCACUCGACGUCGUGGUAUCAGCCGAAGCCUUCGUGACGUCAGCGACUGAGCGGCGCGUGCCGGGUUGGACUAGAACUCCUACUCUUGUAUAAGGGAGGCUAGGUCUGCUCACCGGCCGUGUACGCAGCGUGCAGGUGUGCAAUGGGCGAUGGGCCCAGACCCCUGCGCCAUAGGAUUUAGACCGGCGUGCUGACCUCUCUGUUGUGCCUAGGUAGGGCUGCGACGUGUUGAUCUUCCGAGGCCGGGCAUGACCCAGAAAAGUGUGUCCGGCCAAAUGGGAUCGAGCGUGUUGGGUUAUGUGGUGCACCCCUGCAGGGAAGUUAAUCUAUUCGAAUAGCCGUGAUGUUCGGUAACAGGACGACUUGGAGUUAUACCUUGACCUUAUGACAACUAGAACCGGAUACUUAAUAAAACACACCCUUCCAAGUACCAGAUACAACCGGUGAUCGCUCUCUUACAGGGCGACGAGGGGAGGAUCAUCGGUUAGGAUUAUGCUACACGAUGCUACUUGGUGAACUUACCAUCUACUCUCUUCUCCUGCUGCAAGAUGGAGGUUACCAGAAGCGUAGUCUUCGAAAGGACUAGCUAUCCCCCUCUUAUUCCGGCAUUUUGCAGUUCAGUCCACAUAUGAUACCCUUAUUCCAUUUGAUACCAAUGCGUACAUAUAUAGUGUAGCUCCUUACUUGUGAGUACUUUGGAUGAGUACUCACGGUUGCGUUGCUCCCUCUUUUCCCCCUUUCUAUACUCGAUUGCUGCAACUAGACGUUGGAGCCCAGGAGCCAGACACCACCGUCGACAACGACUACUACUACUCAGGAGGUGCCUACUACUACGUGCAGCCCGCUGACGACGACCAGGAGUAGUUUAGGAGGAUCCCAGGCAGGAGGCCUGCAGCUCUUUCGAUCUGUAUCCCAGUUUGUGCUAGCCUUCUUAAGGCAAACUUGUUUAACCUAUGUCUGUACUCAUAUAUUGUUGCUUCCGCUGACUCGUCUAUGAUCGAGCUCUUGUAUUCGAGCCCUCGAGGCCCCUGGCUUGUAAUAUGAUGCUUGUAUGGCUUAUUUUGUUUGUAAAGUUGUGUUGUGAUAUCUUCCCAUGAGUUCCUGAUCUUGAUCGUACACGUUUGCGUGUAUGAUUGGUGUACGAUUGAAUCGGGGGCGUCACAAGUUGGUACCAGAGCCAGGUUUGCCUGUAGGAAUCCCCCUUCCACACUCCUUGGCCGAAGUCGAGUCUAGACAUUACAAGACUUUUUACUAACAUGGUUGUGUGUCUUACGGGCACACGUCGCCAUUGGGUGGUAGUAGGAUCUUUUAUUCCUCAACCUAUACUCUGGGACUCUGACAUAUCUUCUAUUCAGGUUAAACGAUUUUAUUAACUCUGACUCUAGUUUCUCGAAAAUACUUUCUCCCGGAGAGCCCCUUAUUACAGAUGAUCGUCUGCUGCACCAGAAGAAUCCGAAGAUACUCUCCGAUGUUCUCUUGAGACUUUAUGGCGUCGCUUUUGCAAUUCCCUUCCAUCGAUAAACCCCUGUGGAUAACCAUGUAUACUCGCCUUUCAUACGAUGCUUCCCAGCUGAUUUUGUUAUUACGAGAUACCUCGAAAUUCUCUCUGUUGUUCCGAGAAUCCUUUGAGCUUACUGUCUUGCUGUUCUCUGUCACCUGAAUACCCCUACGGAUAAUUCUCGCACUUAUCGAGUAUCCGCUCAUUCCCAGUUGUUCAUGUGUUUCGCCAAAGACUUCAAAAUAUCAUUUGAUCUUCCGAAAAUCCCGAGCAGCCUAUUGCUCUUGAAAUUCUUGCUUGCUUGAAUUAUGGUUAAUCCCAUAAGUUUCGUGAUCUUAUUGGCCUCCCUUGUCUUUAUCAUUUUAAGUCCAUUGAUUCAAUAUGUUGAGGAUGCCCGCAUUCCUCAGUCGAAUCCUAGGAUUCAUCCUUCCGGCUCAGACGUCAUUUGGAUAUGAGCUGGUUCUGGACCAAUCAAUGCCUUGAUCGUUUGUGCUUCUAAGUCUAUUGAACUUAUUCAUUUUCGAUCAGAACGAUUGCUUCUGAUCCCUUGAUUUGGAAAUCAUAAAAUUUCCUUGCAUUGAGCUUUGAGUUAGUUAGUUGUUUCUAUCAGCUGAUCCCCUUGCAUUCUUUCUUCUUCUGGUAGAGUACCGAUACUCACAUCAGCUCCGUUGUGGAUCGUCAGAUCCAUUGUUGGAUUUCAUCCGACAUCGUCCUUAAUAUUCAAUAACCUUGUGAGCGUUUCCACCGGUAUAUAAUGCCUUUGGUAAAUUGUAUCCUCUGCCUUGUCAACCAUGCUCUACUUUCGAGCUUGUGUUAUUUACUCCUGAAGUUUGUGAUAUAUGUUCCUAAGAUACCCGAUGGUUUGAACUAAUGCCUUCCCUAAUCUGUGCAAACCCGGAAGAUUUCACGGGUCAUACUUAUCUGGUAUUGCACCAGGUAAAACUUUCAAUAACUAAUGUCAUUUUCAAAAUACGAGAGGUGAAUGAAAGGUUAUGCAUUGAAGAAGUGGAAGUCGACCUUGAACUUUGUGUUCAUGCCCGUGGACACGAUGUAGAUCUUAUCAUUAAAGCUUCUCUUAAAUUAAUUUUUUCCCUUGGUAUAAGUUCUUAUAUCUGGGAUCCGGCCUUUUGCAAUCGUGGUUUCGACCAUAUGUUCUUCUUUGACCCCAUUUCACGGGCAAGUUUAAGCACUUGUCUUCUGUGGAUCAAUACACCAGUCCAACCUUUACUUUGAUCUUCCGUCGAGUAUUACACCAUGGUACCUCGAUAAUAUCAAGUAUUACAUAACCUCUUAUGAGUUCCUCAUCAAGUACUACAUUCUCAUUGAUUCCAAAUUUUUCACGGGCUCUGAGUUAUUAAACACUCAAAAACCGAUAACUGAACCGAGUCCGCACUACGGUUCAACAACUUUUGGUAAUCUUCUUUACUUACGAGUUUGUACCCGAUCACGUCCUUCCUACCCUAUUUGGCUAUAACAUUACUGGGAUGAUUUUAACUGUGCUACCUGGUCCUUAUUCCCGGAGCACAACUUUCGACGACGAGCUAAGCUUACGUCGAUCUUCCUCAUCAUACCAUUUUGCCUUAAACAACGAGCUUGGUUUCGAGUUUGUGUCAUACCCUUGGGUUCAAUAACCUUUCGCUUCAUCAUGCCUUUGGCUUGAUGUCAUCGCCGACCGAUUACAUCUUCAUGAAAUCUCUCAACAAUUGUGUCGUGAUCAUCAUCGGCAUUCUAAGCUCUUCUAGGAUGUCAAUUGAGUUCAUUAUGAGAAAUACCAUCCUUGCCCUCGAUGAUCUGUGUUAUCAUCGACCACUUUAUUGAUUUCCCUCCAACACAAACUUAUUCGUGUUUUGUGCUAUACUUUGAGAUCCUUGCUAUCCAGCAAUUAUUCUUCUUUACCUUGGAGUAUUACUACCUUAUAGGUCAAGAAGAUCGUGAGAAUUGCUCCACCUCUUAAGAAUUAUUGGUAUAGUGAUACUUCUCACCAUCACCAUUCUUUCUUGGUUCCCAUGUUGAUUCUAGCCGGGAUACCAACAGGUGAAUGGUGCUGCUUGGAUUCUACACUUCUAGCAACCAUAUUGCUUUGAAGUUAAUGGUCGAUAAUUCAUUCUUAGACCAUUGAUUAUCGAAUCACCAUUCUAACAUUGAUCAUGCUACCUAAGCCCAUAUCUCGGGUGCACCUUUUACAACCAAUGUUAUCUCCUUGUUCACAUAAGUGUGGAAAUCCAUCUUUUGAAAAUCUCAAUGAAUUGUCGCGGAGUCAAUCAGCCACCUCCUCGCCUCUCCUUGAUUUAAUGAUGAACUCUUGUUUUGGAACUUGCUUCCAUAGUUCAAUGCCCGAGAAUCUUAUAAUGUCAUCUCGUCAAUUGUGCUACACCUUUUCUUCUCAGGCAUCCUAAGUUGGAGGUAUCCUGACACCGGUCGGAUCCGAACCUCGGUCAGAUAUGAUGGUUGGAACAUAUCUCCAAGAGUUAUAGCAUUGGUCUUUAUAUGACUCGGUAAUGUGAUGUCAUGCCUAGCACACCUGGCCGGAGGACCUAUUGUGAUAGUUUCCUUUUCUGCAAGAUUAUCCAUGCUUCCAUGAGGAAAUUGUAAGACUUACUCUACAAGAUGUUCCUGAUGGAUCCUUCGUGUAUCCAGAGUCUGACCUUUGCCUGAAGACCAUGUCAAUGCUAUCUCAAAGCAUGUCUAUGGUACUCCGAUUUUCAACAAGAACAUUUGGAGGCCAAUGCUGAAUGCUUCUUGCUCAAUUAUCCAAACACCAUUGUACGGGUAAUGUCAUGAAAUUCCUCUCCCAUUACCUAAAUGGUAUUCUAUGUUAUAUCCUGUCAUGGAUAUCAUGCUAUGCUUGUCCUUGGGAAGGAUAUACCCCUGAAAUAUGUGUUUAAACACAUUCUCCUUUCCAUUCUUUUGUUUAAUCUGAUAAUCACAUUUUCCUUUCCAUUGUUUUGUUUAACCUUUUUUGUAAUCUGACUUAGCUGAGCAGAGAUAAUUCCCUGCCUAGUUGAACCUCGUUGUAUCACUCUGUCAGCAAGACCCUAUUACUAUUGUUGAUGACAUUCCGGUAGCCACCGAUGGACGAGAACUUUGCCUAUUAGUCCGCCUCGUUCAACGAGCAGGAAAAUGGUUCUCUUCGUCCCUCGCCCUUGGUACCGACGUGGCCGACAUAAUUUAUAGGCUAUCCUCCGGCAUGCCUCGUUAUCAUGACUGUGCAAAAUAUCACCGCCCUUUCUACUUUUAACCCACAUGUUGGGCCCAUAACCCACAGGUCCCAGGAUCGAAACCUGACUGUCCUAUAUACCCCUAUCUCCGAAGUUAUUCCUCACGAUUGGCUUCGUAUGAAGAUCACCAGCCACCUUCCUAGAGAUGAUCUAAUCUGGUAUCAGACGCAAUACUUGUUCUCGUUGCUCUGGACCCCUUUCGCACUUGGUUUCAGGCAUCGAAUGAUUGCCUAUCCAUUUGAAACUUCUCAUGCUACCUUCUUACCUUGCUCUCGACAUCUUCUUAAGUUUCAAUUCGAGAGGUACUUAUGCUUCUUCCCCGGAGUUAACCGUCAGAUGCUCGGUCUUGUUAGAAUUCGUCCCUAUAGAGUUUUUUCCCUUCUUACCCUUUCAUAAGUACGGUGAAGAUCCUAAAAGAAGGACGACAACUUCAUCAUGAUGACCUGAAGCAGAGAAAUGAAGGCAUCAAUGUAAUGGAUCGACCUCUUCGAGAAGAGCAACUAAGACCGAGAAGAAUCGUUAGGAUUAAGUAACCAGAUCUUUCCCCUUACUCCACCUCUUAAAAUCUCGGGACGAGAUUUCUUGUAGUGGAUGAGAUUUUUAACACCGCGAGAAUCUUGCUACAGUAAUCCCAUGCCUAAUGACGCCAUGAAAUCAUAAUCAUUUUGCUAAUCCUCACUUUGAUUCAAAUCCGGAUUCAAAUGCCAAGUCAUAUAAUAUUUUUUAUAAAAUAGUAAUUUAAAAAUGUUCCUUAGGUUGAAAACUUUCAUUACAUAAUUUUCAUGCAUUAAACAAACAUUAUGGAGAUGUUUAAAAUACCCCUGAAAAUUAUAACACUGGUCCAAUAGCUAAUUAUUUGACCUUUUCAAUUUCUAAAAAAAGUUGAACACUCCCAAAUGCGUUGAAACUUUUUGUAGCAACCCGGAAUAUUGCGCUUUACUUUUGUGCCAAGUUUUGUAUUAAAUAAAACUCUUUAGUAGCUCAAAUAAAAUGCAAAGUAUGAAAGUUAAAUUAAAAAUAGAAAAAUAAAACAUAUCCUACCAGGCCACUUGGACCAUCUAACUAAAACCAGCCCACAAACCCCCCUACUUGUCUCCUUCUGCUGCUAGUGGAGGCAGGGGAGGCCGUGGCGCCAUCUCCAUGGCCGCCGGCCACACGUCGGCAUCCGAGCCGCCUUGCCCACCUACAAGACCCCCUUGACCCCCUGGACGAACCCUAGUCCUCCCUCUCUUCCUCCCCCGCACAGUUUCUUCCGCCCAGAGCAACCACCCGAGGCGUCAUGGUCGUGCCGCUAUAGAUCCCGUGGCCACAGACAACCCCGCGCCCAGCCGUCGUGUCCUUAGGCUCCGCCGUCGACUGCUUCGUCGUCUUCAACCACCAGAUCAAGCCGGGACUCCAGAACGACUACGCCCACGACCGUCUUCCUCGCCACGGCCGCCGGAGCUCCGCCGCUCGAUCCGCCACCGUCCGUCCACCACGACGCCCACGAGCCGUCCGCGUGACUUCCCUGUGAGCAGACGCGCUAUCCCUCUCCUUUCCCUUCUUCAAUUGAUAGCCGUAACUACCCUGUACGCCAUGGCCGGACCUCCGCGCCCGCAGCUGCUUGCCGCGGCCGGCCCCUCCCAUGGCCGCACUCCCCUUGCCCCGGGCGCUCCCCUGCACCAUGCCCCUGGCCGCCCACGCUGGCCGCGCUCGGCUCGCCCGCUGCCGCUGGCACCCGCGUGCGCUCGGCCGCCCCUGACCGCGUCGUCGCCUGAGCUCCCGUGCUGCUGAGCUGCUCCUUGCGCCGUUGUUUCUUCGCUGCUACUUCCGCCACUGCUUGCUCCUUGACCGCUGCUUGCUGCUGCCGGUGGCCGCUGUUGUGCGUGCCUGCUACUGCGCUGCUCUGCUUCGACGCUGCUGUUGCUUAGUGCAACUACUGCGCUGCUCUACUCCAGCCGGUGCUAGUUGCUGCUAAAGGCCAUGGCCGAGUGUGUGCGUGCAGCGUGUAUGUGUGUGUGUUGUGUGCGUGCAGCGUGUGUGUGUGCGUGAGUGUGUGUUCUGUGUGUGUGGCCGGCCAAAAACUAGUUUAGGGACUAGUUUAGUUUGUUCGUGUAGUUAGUAGUACUAGUUAAUUAGUCCAAUGGUAGAUGACAUGUGGACCCACUGUUAGUUAAAAAACAAAUUUUAGAAAAGUCUAAGUCAAUGACAUGUGGCCCCUACACCGUUUAUAUGUUGACUAGUUAACUGUUGACUUUGACCCUGACCCCACCAGUGAUAAACUAUGGCUAGAAUAGCACUAGGUGACAAAACAAAUUUUUGUUUUAUUUCCAAAUUAUAAGAA
rnacentral:lncRNA from 1 species